ACGAUGAAGAGUUUGAUCCUGGCUCAGGAUGAACGCUAGCGGCAGGCCUAACACAUGCAAGUCGAACGGUAACAGCAGAGCUUGCUCUGGCUGACGAGUGGCGCACGGGUGCGUAACGCGUAUACAAUCUACCUAUUACUGGAGUAUAGCCCGAAGAAAUUUGGAUUAAUCCUCCAUAGUAUUAUUGAAUGGCAUCAUUUAAUAAUUAAAACUACGGUGGUAAUAGAUGAGUAUGCGUCCUAUUAGUUUGUUGGUAAGGUAACGGCUUACCAAGGCAUCGAUAGGUAGGGGUCCUGAGAGGGAGAUCCCCCACACUGGUACUGAGACACGGACCAGACUCCUACGGGAGGCAGCAGUGAGGA
rnacentral:rRNA from 1 species